rnacentral:rRNA from 1 species
GACGAACCGUGCGAACGUUAUUCGGAAUCACUGGGCUUAAAGCGCGUGUAGGCGGAUGGGAACGUCGGUAGUUGAAAGCCCCCGGCUCAACCGGGGAAGUGGUGCCGAAACGACCCGUCUGGAGGGACGUAGGGGGACCUGGAACUUCCGGUGGAGCGGUGGAAUGCGCAGAUAGUCGGGAGGAACACCAAUGGCGAAGGCAGCUCGCUGGGACGUUACUGACGCUGAGGCGGCGAAAGCUAGGGGAGCGAACGGG